rnacentral:rRNA from 1 species
CGAAACCUGCCCAGCAGAACGACCCGCGAACACGUUAUGUCUCGGUUGCGCUGGACGGGGAGCGGAGACGCCCCCCGCCCGGAAAAACGAACCCCCGGCGCGAUCUGCGCCAAGGAAAACUGAAAAACGGAUCGAGCGCUUCCUCAGCGUUCCCCGAACUCUUAA